CCGCCAGAACAGGCUAUAAAAGGCUGUUCUGGGUUUUCGUCUCCUUUCUCAUAUUUUCUCCUCUUUGACACCCACUUUUCUCUACAUAGAACUCUUCUAAACAUCCAUACAGAGUUGUACAACCUUUGGUUCCAACCUUUAGACCAUAAAAUCAUAUAGAAAACCUUGUUCAAAGAUCACAUAAGUUGCUGUAAGUUCAACAGUUUACAUCUCUUGUAUUUAAGCUUAGUUUUUCAUAUCUAUAAGCUUGUUGAAACUAAUCUUUAGCAUUUUAUACAUUCAGGGGAAGCUGUAGGAGUAGUUAACCAAGUGAAUUAAGGAAUUUCGUGAGCUUUAAGCAUCCUUAGCUAAGAGUUUGAUUUUGAUGCAGGUUGGUACGAGGAUAUGUGAUGAAGGUGUUUACUUUUGUAAUAGACUUUCAAUAAUGUAAAUUAAGUAAUGACAUCUAUAUACAUAUGUUUACAUAGUUAAGCAAGUGAUAGACUACUGAACUUUAGUUAGUUUUUGGUGUAUGUAACCUAAGAGCUCUUAUGAGGACAGCUUUGUAUGCAUUAAGUAAUGUAUAAAGUAUGUUUUUGAGGUAA